UACGAAGGGUGCAAGCGUUACUCGGAAUUACUGGGCGUAAAGCGUGCGUAGGUGGUUCGUUAAGUCUGAUGUGAAAGCCCUGGGCUCAACCUGGGAAUGGCAUUGGAAACUGGCGACCUAGAGUGCGGUAGAGGGUAGUGGAAUUCCCGGUGUAGCAGUGAAAUGCGUAGAUAUCGGGAGGAACACCAGUGGCGAAGGCGACUUCCUGGCCCGUUCUUGACGCUGAGGCGCGAAAGCUAGGGGAGCAAACGGG
rnacentral:rRNA from 1 species